UUGUAUAAGCCUACCUUUAUUUUAUUUUAUAUGUAAAUAAAAUAAAGGUAGGCUCUCUAA
rnacentral:pre_miRNA from 1 species